rnacentral:rRNA from 1 species
UACGUAGGGGGCAAGCGUUAUCCGGAUUUAUUGGGCGUAAAGGGAACGCAGGCGGUCUUUUAAGUCUGAUGUGAAAGCCUUCGGCUUAACCGGAGUAGUGCAUUGGAAACUGGGAGACUUGAGUGCAGAAGAGGAGAGUGGAACUCCAUGUGUAGCGGUGAAAUGCGUAGAUAUAUGGAAGAACACCGGUGGCGAAAGCGGCUCUCUGGCCUGUAACUGACACUGAGGCUCGAAAGCGUGGGGAGCAAACAGG